ACAUACGACCAUAGGCGGUAGAAAAUUCGGGAUCCCGUCCGCUCUCCCUUAGACAAGCUACCGACCGCCGAACUAGUAGUUGGGUCGGUGACGACCAGCGAAUCCUCGGUGUUGUAUUGU
rfam:Madurella mycetomatis strain mm55 MMYC01_Sc2098, whole genome shotgun sequence.